CACAUGAUAACAGAUGCCAGCUCCUUCACAGGCAUUCGCACGAACACAAGGAGGACACCAUCAAGUCGACCAACUCCGUCCCAAAAUUCCAACGAACAGGCAGAGAAAUUCAUCAAUCGACACUCCUUUGAGAUGAGAAUAUGUGGUCGCAUCACAUCGGAAUUCGCUGCGUUGAAGGGCAGCACCUCGUACGACAAUUCGAGCUCACGCAGUGGUGUGCGGCCAUGAGCGCCUGACCAAGCUAUUGUCGAAGUCAUCGUCACCAUGUCGAUGAGCGGGCCACAAGCAAGCCGCUUCACAAGAAGCUUCGUUUCUUAUCGGCCAGUGCUGCUUGCUUGAUUCUUGCUUUCUUGAGGAAUCAAAGCUAUUGCUUCACAAGAGGCUCCAUUUCUUGCUUGAGCUGCUUGCUUGCUUCUUGCUUUCUUGAGAAAUCAAAGCUAUUGCUUCACAGGAAGCUCCGUUUCUUGCUUGAGUAAUCACUAGCGCCACCUUGACAACCUCACGCGCAGGCCACGCAUCUGCACUGCGACAAUGCGCAUGUCGCCACCACGCAGGGCCUCCUCGCCUUCGACGCCAAGAACGCCGUCCCCUGCACCCAAGCUCCUCACCUCCCGUGAGCACGGAGCGAACUUGCAACGCGGCCGUGAGAGUGGGCGGCUUGGACCGGACUUUAGUUGCGACAGCGUAGGCGACGAGGCAUCCUCCAUGUCGGCAUCAUCGACGUUCCACUCCCAGCACUUUCUUCUUUUGCGGCGAUACGGCUCAUACCGGCACAGGACACUUGGGCUCGCGUUCUCAUUCGCCUCCGCCGCUCUAGGCCUCAUCGCGUUCUCGUUGUUCACGGGAGGAGAGUCGCCCCCGCUUGCCGGCAGACCUACGCGGACAGGAAGAAGAAGAGCGUGGAAAAAAGAGAUUUGGGGAAGAACAUUUGCUCACGAGAGGUGAGCGCAACCUCUCCCUCGGCACUAGAGCGAGCCAACCGCUCACGAAGGAAAUUUCUGUUCCAAGCGGUGCACUUUUUUGCAUGGUGGAGAGGUCUGUGUGGCUUAUAGGCUACCAAACGUGAUAAAAGUAAAAGAACCUACAUCUGAUGAUACGGU
rnacentral:lncRNA from 1 species